rnacentral:rRNA from 1 species
CUACGGGACGCUCCAGUGAGGAAUAUUGCACAAUGGGGGGAACCCUGAUGCAGCAACGCCGCGUGGAGGAUGACGCAUUUCGGUGUGUAAACUCCUUUUAUAUGUCAAGAAAAUGACGGUAGCAUAUGAAUAAGCACCGGCUAACUCCGUGCCAGCAGCCGCGGUAAUACGGAGGGUGCAGGCGUUACUCGGAAUCACUGGGCGUAAAGGACGCGUAGGCGGGUUGGAAAGUCAGGUGUGAAAUCCUACAGCUUAACUGUAGAACUGCACUUGAAACUUCUAAUCUAGAGUAUGGGAGGGGGAGAUGGAAUUAGUGGUGUAGGGGUAAAAUCCGUAGAUAUCACUAGGAAUACCUAAAGCGAAGGCGAUCUCCUGGAACAUUACUGACGCUAAGGCGUGCAAGCGUGGGGAGCAAACAGGAUUAGAUACCCUUGUAGUC